GGCAAGGAAGGAAUGGCUGGGGGAGUUUGUGUACAAAUCUGGGGCUGUUCACAGGGAGGCUGCAGCCACCAAAGGCUGAGUGGGGCUAAGUCUAAGAGCACUAAUGACAGCAAUAUUGAUAAUAAUGACCUCCUUAUGCAAGGCCCUUUCUAGGUUUAACACACUUUAUGUGGCCCAUGGGAUUUGAUCCUCACAAUAUUUUUAAGGAAUUAUCUCUCCCACUUUACAUGUGAAAAACAAGGGUUGAGGAAAUUAAAAACAUGUUGGCCAUAAGCCAACAUUCGAAGGAAUUUGCACAUGGACCACGCAUGAUGGCCUGUCUGAUUCUAAAGCCCCUGUUCUGAAAACAAUACCCUAUUGUCUUUUAGCACCAGCAAACUGCUGAGAGGGUCCAGCCAUGACACUCUCAAUGCAUUGGCUCUUCUGAGCCCCGAGAAGGUGGGAGGCAGGAGGGGUGAUCAGGUAAUGGGGGCUCAUUGCCAGAGAAGAGUCUCUGGGGAGAAUGCUGGUGCUGGAGGUGGCAGACUGUGCAAAUCUCCUGAGUCUGUGAAUCACCAAUCAGUGAAGAUUAGUCAGAGUCUGGUACACUGCAGCGGAAGGAGUAGGGGUUGUGUGUGUGCUCAACAUGCAGCUGCAAGGCCUCUACUGGUGACUCUACAAGCUAGGAAAGGAGGCUUUCUUGGAAGAACAUGAAAGAGAACAAACUCAACAGAAAAGAACGGCUCAGUCUGAGUACCUACUUGGACGAAGGUUGUGAAGGUUGGGAACGGGAAUGACCCUCGUGACCCACAGGUGCCUCGGUGUCAGGAAGCACACAGAAUGCCAACCAGAAAGAGAGGCAGGUCCAGGGAGAGGAAUGAGGCUUCACCCAAGGGCAUUUGCAUUCAGGCCUUAAACGCACACCAGAGGCUGCUACUGAAACAUAAAAUAUCAACACGUGAAAAAAAUAUCAACUCAUCUGCAGUCUUUACGGAAAGCAUUGACUGGAAUCUUGCUUGUCAGAUGGUGAGGCUUUAAUCAGACCCUGGGAUGACAGGGCUGCCUUCCUCUCUCAAGUCCCCCAAGUUUCCCUUUCUCUCUCUUGCUCUCUCUUGUCCUGGAACAAGGAGGAAGACAGUAAAGGGAGGUAGGUCUAGGCUAGAAGAACCAAGCCCACUGUAGAAUGUGGACCCAGCAGGAGUCCAGGCCUCCAUGUCUUGAAAGCUGAAAGCACCUGGGGCCCAUGAAGGUCCAAUCUAGGGGCAGUGGGAGGCUCCCACAGGAGCUAGAGUAGAGGCUAGGCCGUCAGGGUGGACAGCACUGAAUCUGGAGGUGAGAGACCUACUAAAGCCAGAACCAGAGCAUCACUGGGAUCACAGGCCAUGGGUUAAAGUGUUGUGGCCAACCUUCUGUUUAACUCACUGGGCUUAAGAGCUCCGUAAAACAAAACUACCUCUAAACUGUAAGCCCCGCUCACUGAGGAUGGAGACUUCUUGGAGGGCUAAGGGCUGUGGUUCACGGAAGAUAACAAACUGUAAACAAGCUUGGUUGUCCCAAGUGCACAGGAUGUGCUUGUGUCUAAUUGCAGGAAAGCAGGAAGUAUGUGGCCCUAUGAGUUUUGUCUUUAUAAGUGCCUAAUGUUAUUUGGUGACGUGCUCUAAGCUUGGGUCUCCAGUAUGUUUGUAUCCAUGGUUCCUGGAAAGUAUUUAAUAAAGCCUCUUGUUUGUUAAAAUUCAUUCAUGGUCAAAGUAAAUCUCUGAGCUACCCCAGACUCACGACAAGGGACAGGCAUCAGGGCAGCUGCAGAAAGCAGGCCUUCAUUGGGGUGACUCUACUGGGCACUCCAGGAGGACUUUGAAGAAGAUUUAGGGACACUGAUGCGUGGUUUCUGGGUAGGUAGCCUUUGGUGGUAUAUAUGUCCCACAAAAGAGCAUGACUCUGUGGGCCUCACUGCUGAACCUAAUACUGUGUGGCUGGCCAAAGCAGAGGCCCAGGUGUCAGUAGAAAGCCUGGCUUUCCAGUCAAAGUAGAUUCCCUGGGAGGAGAAGGAGGAAAGUCAUCCCUGUUGGAAAGACUUUGCCCCUAAAAGGCUCGUGUGUUGAAGCCAUGAGCCCUGGCUUCAUCUGGUCAUUCAGAGCUGAUAGAACCACGCGAGUUCUGACGUAAUUGAAGACAGAUCUGUCACAAUCUGGUAGCAUUUCCAGGUGUUGUGAACUUGGAGGUGAGCCCCUGGGGUAGGUUCUGUACCUUCACAGGAUGUCUCUGGUCUCCAGCGCCUGCUGAAGUGUCUCCCGGCUGCUAUGAGGUGAACUUUCCUCCUCCACAGUACUCUUCUGUCAUGAUGCUCCUACUUUAACCGUCCUAAAAGCUACGGAGACACUGAAACCAUGAGCCAA